rnacentral:tRNA from 1 species
AGGGGUAUAGCUCAGUGGUAGAGCACGUACCUAGCAUGCACGAAGUCCUGGAUUCAAUCCCCAGUACUUCCA